UUUCCGUAGGUGAACCUGCGGAAGGAUCAUGACAGAGUUCAUGCCCUCACGGGUAGAUCUCCCACCCUUGAAUAUUUAUACCUUAGUUGCUUUGGCAGGCCGUGGAAACACCAUGGGCUCCGGCUUAUGCGUGCCUGCCAGAGGAAACAAACUCUGUUUUUAGUGAUGUCUGAGUACUAUAUAAUAGUUAAAACUUUCAACAACGGAUCUCUUGGUUCUG
rnacentral:misc_RNA from 1 species